rnacentral:lncRNA from 1 species
GGCAAGAACGGGCGCCGGAGGGUACCAGCCCAGAAGGCUGGUGUUGGGACCCCGAGGCUCCCUGCCCUUGAGCCCCCAAAUCCGUCUUCUCCCUGCAUCAGCCUGGGCUGUGUGACCUUGGGCAGGGGCUUUGCCUCUCUGGGCCUUAGAGCCCCCAUGAAAGGUGCUGAGCUCAGUGUGGGUGGAUGCGCCGAGGGCAUGCAGAGUCCUUCUGCCGCCUCUGUGGAUGAGAAAUAGGGCCUGUGGUCCACGGCUGCUGUGACAAUGAAGAGAGAACUGUGGAAACUGUGAAGUGCGAUGGACAAAGGGUUGUGUGUCUUAAAUGGUCAUUCGCAGAACUUAAGGCUUUUGAGGCGAGUCCCCAGGAAGACACAGCCACAGCCGCGUGGACCCCACACGUGGGGAAGGGCUGUUCCGGGGCGGCAGGUCCCACUGGGACCAGGCUGAAGCCUAGGGAGUCCUGGAAAGGCUUGGGCAUCCACGGGGCCCCGCUGCAGGUUAACUCCAGGAACCCCCAAGCCCCAGGUCCCUUCGCGGCCCCCCCCCCACCCAUCCUGUGGUCCAGGAGGAACCUGCCCAGAGCAGCGGGAGACGGGGCCCGGGAAGGAGGCCGGGGUCGGUGUUCCAACCGGGGGAAUCGGUUCCCUUCGCUGCAGGCAGCGGGGAGGGUGCGGGGAGCGGAGAGCGGGGGAGGCGGAGAGGGGGGCCGGGAAGAGGGCGAGGGGAGCGGGCGGCCGGGAAGGAGAGGCACACGCGGAGAGGGAUUGAACCUUGAGAGAAGCCGCCCAAGGAAAGGAACAGAGUACCCACAAAACCCCACAUUGGGACAAAGAGAAGGACGCCCGGAUUCUCCCUGCCAGCUCCUCCCACCCGCUUCCAGUCCGCCAGCCCCUCUCCUGCCUCGCUGAGCACCUGGACGCCCGCUCUGGACAUUGUCUCCCCGCCCCCACCUUGGACCACGCUGGACCCCAAGGGCGAUGGCCGCCUGCAGCUGGGUACCCUUGCAUGCAAAACGAGGGGCUGGGGUGUCACCCCCAAGAGGGACAGAAUGAAGGAGGAGGAUCAGCGAGACCUGGAAGUGAAUCCUGAGAGCAUCUGAAGCUGGACUUAGUUAUAUGCAUUUGGUCUUUGCUGGUCUUUCCUUAUAUUUUUAUCCUACUGUCCUGCUAACCAUUGAAUGCAGCCCUUGCUUCGUAGGGCUCUCCCAGUGUCCCUGUCCCUGCCCCGUUCUUGCUGUAGCUGCUGGUGGGGGUGGGGGGUGUGGGGGCUGGGGAGUCAGGGACCAGAGCUUCCUCUGGAAGCUUAGAGGGGACCAGGCGUUUUCACCACAGCUGAGCAGGUGGGACAAGCACCCCCAGCCCUCCGGCACCCGGGGCCCAGCGGGAUUUUGCCAAGGUGUCGAGGGCUGGCAGGGCCAUGUGGCUGUUUGAUUUCCCCCCACUUCCAAACUAGUUGAAAUUACACACCAAGCAUCGAUUUAAUUAAGUUUUCCGGUGUGUGGCAUAAUUAGGAAGACACACGACUGGAACAGGGUGGGCGGGCCCAUCCCAGUUCCUGCCUGUUAGAAUUCUCAGCCCUCAGGCCACAAAAUAUGGCAAGUCGUAGGAUGGGGGAUGCAGGAGACGGAGAGCCAGCCGGAGCUGCCACCUCGCUCCGCCAGCUUCUGUCUCCAAGUGAUGGGAGGGGGGCAGGUGGCCCUGCCUCUACAGGGACUCUCCCCCACACCUGGUGCCAGGCAUUGAACUUGAGUGAAGCUCAGGGAGCUUGUCACCCUCACGGGGACAUCAGAAGGGACAGUAUGGAGUUAGAGAGGGGCCUUGCUGUUGCGGUAGGAUCAGUGCUUUAUCUAUAAGGACGUGCGCCCGGGACAGAGUCACUCGGGGCCUGUUUGCCACAGGGACUGCCAGC